rnacentral:rRNA from 1 species
AUGGUUAAGUUAGAAAGGGCGCACGGUGAAUGCCUUGGCACUAGGAGCCGAUGAAGGACGGGACUAACACCGAUAUGCUUCGGGGAGCUGUAAGUGAGCUUUGAUCCGGAGAUUUCCGAAUGGGGAAACCCACUGUUCGUAAUGGAACAGUAUCUUUAUCUGAAUACAUAGGAUAUUGAAGGCAGACCCGGGGAACUGAAACAUCUAAGUACCCGGAGGAAGAGAAAGCAAAUGCGAUUUCCUGAGUAGCGGCGAGCGAAACGGAAUUAGCCCAAACCAAGAGGCUUGCCUCUUGGGGUUGUAGGACACUCUAUACGGAGUUACAAAGGAACGAAGUAAAUGAAGCGACCUGGAAAGGUCCGUCGAAGAAGGUAACAACCCUGUAGUUGAAACUUCGUUCCCUCUUGAGUGGAUCCUGAGUACGGCGGAACACGUGAAAUUCCGUCGGAAGCUGGGAGGACCAUCUCCCAAGGCUAAAUACUACCUAGUGACCGAUAGUGAACCAGUACCGUGAGGGAAAGGUGAAAAGCACCCCGGAAGGGGAGUGAAAGAGAUCCUGAAACCGUGUGCCUACAAGUAGUCAGAGCCCGUUAACGGGUGAUGGCGUGCCUUUUGUAGAAUGAACCGGCGAGUUACGAUCCCAUGCAAGGUUAAGCUGAUAAGGCGGAGCCGUAGCGAAAGCGAGUCUGAAUAGGGCGUUUAGUAUGUGGUUGUAGACCCGAAACCAGGUGAUCUACCCAUGUCCAGGGUGAAGUUCAGGUAACACUGAAUGGAGGCCCGAACCCACGCACGUUGAAAAGUGCGGGGAUGAGGUGUGGGUAGCGGAGAAAUUCCAAUCGAACCUGGAGAUAGCUGGUUCUCUCCGAAAUAGCUUUAGGGCUAGCCUCAUGUUGUGAGAGUCUUGGAGGUAGAGCACUGAUUGGACUAGGGGCCCCCAACGGGUUACCGAAUUCAGUCAAACUCCGAAUGCCAAAGACUUAUCCAUGGGAGUCAGACUGCGAGUGAUAAGAUCCGUAGUCAAAAGGGAAACAGCCCAGACCACCAGCUAAGGUCCCCAAGUAUACGUUAAGUGGAAAAGGAUGUGGAGUUGCUUAGACAACCAGGAUGUUGGCUUAGAAGCAGCCACCAUUUAAAGAGUGCGUAAUAGCUCACUGGUCGAGUGACUCUGCGCCGAAAAUGUACCGGGGCUAAACGUAUCACCGAAGCUGUGGAUUGACAUCUUUGAUGUCAGUGGUAGGAGAGCGUUCUAAGUGCUGUGAAGUCAGACCGUAAGGACUGGUGGAGCGCUUAGAAGUGAGAAUGCCGGUAUGAGUAGCGAAAGACAAGUGAGAAUCUUGUCCACCGAAUGCCUAAGGUUUCCUGAGGAAGGCUCGUCCGCUCAGGGUUAGUCGGGGCCUAAGCCGAGGCUGAAAAGCGUAGGCGAUGGCCAACAGGUUGAUAUUCCUGUACCACCUCCCCGCCGUUUGAGUAAUGGGGGGAUGCAGUAGGAUAGGGUAAGCGCGCUGCUGGAUAUGCGCGUUCAAGCAGUUAGGCUGAUGAGUAGGCAAAUCCGCUCAUCAUAAAGGCUGAGCUGUGAUGACGAGGGAAUUAUAGUACCGAAGUUCCUGAUUCCACACUGCCAAGAAAAGCCUCUAGCGAGGCGGGAGGUGCCCGUACCGCAAACCGACACAGGUAGGCGAGGAGAGAAUCCUAAGGUGAUCGAGAGAACUCUCGUUAAGGAACUCGGCAAAAUGACCCCGUAACUUCGGGAGAAGGGGUGCUCUGGUAGGGUGUAUAGCCCGAGAGAGCCGCAGUGAAUAGGCCCAGGCGACUGUUUAGCAAAAACACAGGUCUCUGCGAAGCCGCAAGGCGAAGUAUAGGGGCUGACGCCUGCCCGGUGCUGGAAGGUUAAGAGGAGGGGUUAUCCUUUGGGAGAAGCUCUGAAUCGAAGCCCCAGUAAACGGCGGCCGUAACUAUAACGGUCCUAAGGUAGCGAAAUUCCUUGUCGGGUAAGUUCCGACCCGCACGAAAGGCGUAACGAUCUGGGCACUGUCUCAACGAGAGACUCGGUGAAAUUAUAGUACCUGUGAAGAUGCAGGUUACCCGCGACAGGACGGAAAGACCCCGUGGAGCUUUACUGUAGCCUGAUAUUGAAUUUUGGUACAGCUUGUACAGGAUAGGUAGGAGCCUGAGAAGCCGGAGCGCUAGCUUCGGUGGAGGCGUCGGUGGGAUACUACCCUGGCUGUAUUGAAAUUCUAACCCGCGGCCCUGAUCGGGCCGGGAGACAGUGUCAGGUGGGCAGUUUGACUGGGGCGGUCGCCUCCUAAAAUGUAACGGAGGCGCCCAAAGGUUCCCUCAGAAUGGUUGGAAAUCAUUCGUAGAGUGUAAAGGCACAAGGGAGCUUGACUGCGAGACCUACAAGUCGAGCAGGGACGAAAGUCGGGCUUAGUGAUCCGGUGGUUCCGCAUGGAAGGGCCAUCGCUCAACGGAUAAAAGCUACCCCGGGGAUAACAGGCUUAUCUCCCCCAAGAGUCCACAUCGACGGGGAGGUUUGGCACCUCGAUGUCGGCUCAUCGCAUCCUGGGGCUGUAGUCGGUCCCAAGGGUUGGGCUGUUCGCCCAUUAAAGCGGUACGCGAGCUGGGUUCAGAACGUCGUGAGACAGUUCGGUCCCUAUCCGUCGUGGGCGUAGGAAAUUUGAGAGGAGCUGUCCUUAGUACGAGAGGACCGGGAUGGACACACCGCUGGUGUACCAGUUGUCUUGCCAAAGGCAUCGCUGGGUAGCUAUGUGUGGACGGGAUAAGUGCUGAAAGCAUCUAAGCAUGAAGCCCCCCUCAAGAUGAGAUUUCCCAUAGCGCAAGCUAGUAAGAUCCCUGAAAGAUGAUCAGGUUGAUAGGUCAGAGGUGGAAGCGUGGCGACAUGUGUAGCUGACUGAUACUAAUCGAUCGAGGACUUAACCAAA